GACGAACGCUGGCGGCGUGCCUAAUACAUGCAAGUCGAACGCACGAAGUUGAAGAGCUUGCUCUUUAACCAAGUGAGUGGCGGACGGGUGAGUAACACGUGGGUAACCUGCCCAUUAGAGGGGGAUAACAUUCGGAAACGGAUGCUAAUACCGCAUAGUUUCAGGGAUCGCAUGAUUCUUGAAGGAAAGGUGGCUUCGGCUACCACUAAUGGAUGGACCCGCGGCGUAUUAGCUAGUUGGUGAGGUAAUGGCUCACCAAGGCAAUGAUACGUAGCCGACCUGAGAGGGUGAUCGGCCACACUGGGACUGAGACACGGCCCAGACUCCUACGGGAGGCAGCAGUAGGGAAUCUUCCGCAAUGGACGAAAGUCUGACGGAGCAACGCCGCGUGAGUGAAGAAGGUUUUCGGAUCGUAAAACUCUGUUGUUAAAGAAGAACAAGGAUGAGAGUAACUGCUCAUCCCCUGACGGUAUUUAACCAGAAAGCCACGGCUAACUACGUGCCAGCAGCCGCGGUAAUACGUAGGUGGCAAGCGUUGUCCGGAUUUAUUGGGCGUAAAGCGAGCGCAGGCGGUUCUUUAAGUCUGAUGUGAAAGCCCCCGGCUCAACCGGGGAGGGUCAUUGGAAACUGGAGAACUUGAGUGCAGAAGAGGAGAGUGGAAUUCCACGUGUAGCGGCGAAAUGCGUAGAUAUGUGGAGGAACACCAGUGGCGAAGGCGACUCUCUGGUCUGUAACUGACGCUGAGGCUCGAAAGCGUGGGGAGCAAACAGG
rnacentral:rRNA from 1 species